UACGUAGGGGGCAAGCGUUGUCCGGAAUCAUUGAGCGUAAAGCGCGUGUAGGCGGUUCGGUAAGUCCGCUGUGAAAGUCGGGGGCUCAACCCUCGGAUGCCGGUGGAUACUGUCGAGCUUGAGUACGGAAGAGGCGAGUGGAAUUCCUGGUGUAGCGGUGAAAUGCGCAGAUAUCAGGAGGAACACCAAUUGCGAAGGCAGCUCGCUGGGACGUUACUGACGCUGAGACGCGAAAGCGUGGGGAGCAAACAGG
rnacentral:rRNA from 1 species